rnacentral:rRNA from 1 species
GAUGAACGCUAGCGGCAGGCUUAAUACAUGCAAGUUGAGGGGCAGCAUGAUAUACGCGAGUAUAUUGAUGGCGACCGGCGGACGGGUGAGUAAUAGGUAGGAGACCUACCUCAUACAGGGGGAUAGCAUAGAGAAAUCUGUGGUAAUACCCCAUGAGGUUAUAUGAAUAGAGGCAUAUAAUCAAAGCAUAAGUGAUUAUGCGGUAUGAGAGGGGCCUACUGACCAUUAGCUAGUUGGUGAGGUAAGGGCUCACCAAGGCGAAGAUGGUUAGGGGUUUUGAGAGAGAGACCCCCCACAUUGGAACUGAGAGACGGUCCAGACUCCUACGGGAGCAGCAGUAGGGAAUAUUGGGCAAUGGGCGAAAGCCUGACCCAGCCAUGCCGCGUGAAGGAAGACGGCCUUAUGGGUUGUAAACUUCUUUACUACGCGAAUAGAGGUUAGUACGAGAUACUAAUAGGAAGGUAGUGUAGUAAAAGCACCGGCUAACUCCGUGACCCG